CCUGCUGGCCAGGCCUGGUACAGGCUGGCUGAAAGCGGGAGGGCCAAGUCCCUUUAACCGCUGUAUGGAGAUUUUGUCAAGGUCAGCUGGCUGAAAGUGACUUCUAUGCUAUUUUCAAUCUCAUUCAGGAGCUCGUUUUCAACUCGCUCAAGAUUUUUGAGAGUUGUUGGUCAUCAUUAAGGGUGACUAUUUCCCCAGGCUUUAGUGGACGUUGGACAAGUCGCUGGAUUUGGAUUGGCUGGCCCUUCAAUCGCUCUUCUAUGUACGCGCGAUUUCGUGUGCCUCUUUUAAAAUCUCGAAACAGGCCGUUGAUCACGUGUCCUUCCAUGCGCACAACAGGUGGCAAUCGAAUCUGAUGAGAGAUGGGGCGCCAUCAAAAUGGGCCGUCGCCUCC